rnacentral:rRNA from 1 species
CGCGUAGGCGGCCUGCUAAGUCGAACGUGAAAUCCCCGGGCUCAACCCGGGAACUGCGUCCGAUACUGGCAGGCUUGAAUCCGGGAGAGGGAUGUGGAAUUCCAGGUGUAGCGGUGAAAUGCGUAGAUAUCUGGAGGAACACCGGUGGCGAAGGCGGCAUCCUGGACCGGUAUUGACGCUGAUGCGCGAAAGCCAGGGGAGCAAACG